rnacentral:tRNA from 1 species
GACCAUGUGGCCUAAUGGAUAAGGCGUCGGACAUCUAAAAAUAUGGUUGACAUCCGAAAAUUGCGGGUUCGAGUCCCGCCUUGGUUA